AGUGAACGCUGGCGGUAGGCCUAACACAUGCAAGUCGAACGGCAGCACAGUAAGAGCUUGCUCUUACGGGUGGCGAGUGGCGGACGGGUGAGGAAUACAUCGGAAUCUACUUUUUCGUGGGGGAUAACGUAGGGAAACUUACGCUAAUACCGCAUACGACCUACGGGUGAAAGCAGGGGAUCUUCGGACUUUGCGCGAUUGAAUGAGCCGAUGUCGGAUUAGCUAGUUGGCGGGGUAAAGGCCCACCAAGGCGACGAUCCGUAGCUGGUCUGAGAGGAUGGUCAGACACACUGGAACUGAGACACGGUCCAGACUCCUACGGGAGGCAGCAGUGGGGAAUAUUGGACAAUGGGCGCAAGCCUGAUCCAGCCAUACCGCGUGGGUGAAGAAGGCCUUCGGGUUGUAAAGCCCUUUUGUUGGGAAAGAAAAGCAGCAGGUUAAUACCCCGCUGUUCUGACGGUACCCAAAGAAUAAGCACCGGCUAACUUCGUG
rnacentral:rRNA from 1 species